rnacentral:rRNA from 1 species
AAAGUUUUCGGAUGGAUUGCUGAGUGGCGGACGGGUGAGUAACGCGUGGAUACCUGCCUCACACUGGGGGAUAACAGUUAGAAAUGACUGCUAAUACCGCAUAAGACCGCAUGGUAAAAACUCCGGUGGUGUGAGAUGGAUCCGCGUCUGAUUAGCCAGUUGGCGGGGUAACGGCCCACCAAAGCGACGAUCAGUAGCCGACCUGAGAGGGUGACCGGCCACAUUGGGACUGAGACACGGCCCAGACUCCUACGGGAGGCAGCAGUGGGGGAUAUUGCACAAUGGGGGAAACCCUGAUGCAGCGACGCCGCGUGGAGGAAGAAGGUUUUCGGAUUGUAAACUCCUGUCGUUAGGGACGAUAAUGACGGUACCUAACAAGAAAGCACCGGCUAACUACGUGCCAGCAGCCGCGGUAAAACGUAGGGUGCAAGCGUUGUCCGGAAUUACUGGGUGUAAAGGGAGCGCAGGCGGGAAGACAAGUUGGAAGUGAAAACCAUGGGCUCAACCCAUGAAUUGCUUUCAAAACUGUUUUUCUUGAGUAGUGCAGAGGUAGAUGGAAUUCCCGGUGUAGCGGUGGAAUGCGUAGAUAUCGGGAGGAACACCAGUGGCGAAGGCGGUCUACUGGGCACCAACUGACGCUGAGGCUCGAAAGCAUGGGUAGCAAACAGGAUUAGAUACCCUGGUAGUCCAUGCCGUAAACGAUGAUUACUAG